UCAGGAUGAACGCUAGCUACAGGCUAACACAUGCAAGUCGAGGGGCAGCAUGGAGGUAGCUUGCUACCUUGAUGGCGACCGGCGCACGGGUGAGUAACGCGUAUCCAACCUGGCCCUUAGUAGGGGAUAGCCCGGCGAAAGUCGGAUUAAUACCCUAUGUUAUCCGAAGAUGACAUCAGACUUGGAUCAAAGAUUAAUCGCUAAGGGAUGGGGAUGCGUCUGAUUAGCUUGAUGGCGGGGUAACGGCCCACCAUGGCGACGAUCAGUAGGGGUUCUGAGAGGAAGGUCCCCCCACAUUGGAACUGAGACACGGUCCAAACUCCUACGGGAGGCAGCAGUGAGGAAUAUUGGUCAAUGGUCGCGAGACUGAACCAGCCAAGUAGCGUGCAGGAAGACGGCCCUAUGGGUUGUAAACUGCUUUUAUGCGGGGAUAAAGUGGGCCACGUGUGGCCCUUUGCAGGUACCGCAUGAAUAAGGACCGGCUAAUUCCGUGCCAGCCGCAGC
rnacentral:rRNA from 1 species